rnacentral:lncRNA from 1 species
AGCUACAUCCGUCACCUGACACGGCCCUACCAGGAACAGCCGCGCUCCCGCGGAUUCUGGUGCUGCUCGCGUCCCCGCUCCCCUAUUCCCCUUAUUUUAUUCCUGGCUCCCCUCGUCGAAAGUCUUCCAUUCUUCAAACUAGAUUAUUUAAAAAUGAAAAAGGAAGAAAGGAAAGCGAGGUCAUCUCAUUGCUCUAUCCGCCAAUCAGGAGGCUGAAUGUCAGUUUUGAACUAAAAGCCGCUCCGCUCCUCUUCUAGAUUUGGAAAACAAGCGAAAUUAAACUAAACCGCUGCACGCCUCUGACGCGACAUCUGGACACGGCGCGGCGCUGGCGCUGCCGGAGCUGUCGACCCGGCCUGGCGCCGGACUAGGACUAUUUGCCACGACAUUUCAAAGGAUUCCAAGAGAGAAUAUUGGUGUCCAUGCUGUGAUGAUUCCUCAGCUCCUCUCAUCUGAUCUCCGUCCUGGCCCCCAUGACUUUCUUUGUGGUAGUUAGGGUGUGGUAUGUGCCACUGAGGCCCACACCUAUUGCUAUAUUGAGAAACCACAGAAAGAGAGAAGUUAAAUAAUUUUCCUGUCAAAGACCACAUCAAUGAUGAAGCCAGAAUUUGAGCUCAUGUACUUAACCACUGGACUACCUGCCUGCCCUGUCGAGGAACAGCUAAGUGUCCCUUUUGAUGAGAAGAAUAAGCCUCAUUCUGAUUCAACAGCAGAGAUCAAAGAAAAGACUUCUGUUUUCUGGCCACCAGAUAUAUGUUAUCUGUGCUUAAAGAAUUGAAAAACACACAUCAAAGGAGAAUUUUCUUGGAAAGAGAGGGUUCAAGCAUCACUGUUAGGUGUGCUGGAAUCCUUUCCCGAGUCAGUACUGCUUUCUAGAAGAAAACCGGGGAGAUCUAUUUGGAAUGUAUCUAACUCCAAAGAAACCAUCAGAGGUAACAGAUUGGCUUCUCUCACAUGGCAAGAAACAUUGCUGCUAGCACUUCCCGAGUUCUACGUUCUACAACAUCCACCACUGGAUCUUAACAUAGACGUAAGAUCAAAUGCAAUAGCAUGUCAAACAAUGUGUAACUCCAGUUAUACAAACAUUACUGUAUCUCAUUGGGGAUACGAAGCUCUACACACUUGAAGAUGGUGAAGGAAUAUAAAAAUCUAUGUCUCACAGUCCAGACUUGGAGUACAAGUAAUAAGAAGAAUAAAACUUAAUCCCUUAAGUAGAUUCACCAUAAGUUAGCUCAGAGCAAUUCCAGUGCAAGUAUGGUCUGUGAUCCAGUAGUAUCUUACAGACAGCAAGUUGAACAUUGUGGGAUGCAUGAGCUAUUGAGGCCUUUGCAGCUUUCUGCUACAUGGAGGCUAGGGCCAGAGUCAAGAUUUAUGCUUUGCAGCACACUGGUCAGCUGUUUUUGCAAAUCAGAUUAAAUGAUUUUUAAAUGAGGCUGAGAGCAUGGGAGAUACUAAUGUGUGUUUCCUUGUGAGCUACUGCAUAAGUUAGGAAAUUGAAAUACAGAAAGAUGAAAAGUGAUUUGCCCAAGCAUAUAGAUCAAAGCUGUGGCAGAACCAGGACUGGAACCUAUAUCUCUCUACUAAUGGUUUUUUUAAAAAAAUAACCUUGUUUCAAAAAUAUUAAAAAGUCACAAGAAAGGUAAACAUGUGGAUAAACAAAAUGAAGAAAAUAAAAAUUAUCCAGUAAUAACAUA